GUGCCAGCAGCCGCGGUAAUACGGAGGGGGUUAGCGUUGUUCGGAAUUACUGGGCGUAAAGCGCACGUAGGCGGACUAGUCAGUCAGAGGUGAAAUCCCAGGGCUCAACCCUGGAACUGCCUUUGAUACUGCUAGUCUUGAGUUCGAGAGAGGUAAGUGGAAUUCCGAGUGUAGAGGUGAAAUUCGUAGAUAUUUCGGAGGAACACCAGUGGCGAAGGCGGCUUACUGGCUCGAUACUGACGCUGAGGUGCGAAAGUGUGGGGAGCAAACAGGAUUAGAAUACCCUGGUAGUCCCACACCGUAAACGAUGAAUGCCAGACGUCGGGUAGCAUGCUAUUUCGGUGUCACACCUAACGGAUUAAGCAUUCCGCCUGGGGAGUACGGUCGUCAAGAUUAAAAACUCAAAGGAAUUGACGG
rnacentral:rRNA from 1 species